UACGUAGGGGGCAAGCGUUGUCCGGAUUUACUGGGCGUAAAGAGCGUGUAGGCGGCCACGCAGGUCCGCUGUGAAAACUGGAGGCUCAACCUCCAGCUGUCGACGGAAACCGUGUGGCUAGAGUCCGGAAGAGGAGAGUGGAGUUCCUGGUGUAGCGGUGAAAUGCGCAGAUAUCAGGAAGAACACCAAUGGCGAAGGCAGCUCUCUGGGACGGUACUGACGCUGAGACGCGAAAGCGUGGGGAGCGAACAGG
rnacentral:rRNA from 1 species